rnacentral:rRNA from 1 species
CCUACGGGAGGCAGCAGUGGGGAAUAUUGGGCAAUGGAGGAAACUCUGACCCAGCAACGCCGCGUGAAGGAUGAAGGUACUCGGAUUGUAAACUUCUGUCGCGAGGGAUGAAGAAUGACGGUACCUCGUAAGAAAGCCCCGGCAAACUACGUGCCAGCAGCCGCGGUAAUAUGUAGGGGGCGAGCGUUGUCCGGAAUGACUGGGCGUAAAGGGAGUGUAGGCGGCAUAUUAAGUUAUGUGUGAAAGCCCGGGGCUCAACCGCGGAAUUGCACAUAAAACUGGUAAGCUGGAGUGGAGGAGAGGUAUGUGGAAUGCGCGGUGUAGCGGUGGAAUGCGUAGAUAUCGGGAGGAACACCAGAUGCGAAGGCGACUUACUGGAUUGUAACUGACGCUGAGGCACGAAAGCGUGGGGAGCGAACAGGAUUAGAUACCCCGGUAGUC